rnacentral:rRNA from 1 species
AGAGUUUGAUCCUGGCUCAGGAUGAACGCUAGCUACAGGCUUAACACAUGCAAGUCGAGGGGCAGCAUUUCAGUUUGCUUGCAAACUGGAGAUGGCGACCGGCGCACGGGUGAGUAACACGUAUCCAACCUGCCGAUAACUCGGGGAUAGCCUUUCGAAAGAAAGAUUAAUACCCGAUAGUAUAAUGAAACCGCAUGGUCUUAUUAUUAAAGAAUUUCGGUUAUCGAUGGGGAUGCGUUCCAUUAGGCAGUUGGUGAGGUAACGGCUCACCAAACCUUCGAUGGAUAGGGGUUCUGAGAGGAAGGUCCCCCACAUUGGAACUGAGACACGGUCCAAACUCCUACGGGAGGCAGCAGUGAGGAAUAUUGGUCAAUGGGCGCAGGCCUGAACCAGCCAAGUAGCGUGAAGGAUGACUGCCCUAUGGGUUGUAAACUUCUUUUAUAUGGGAAUAAAGUUUUCCACGUGUGGAAUUUUGUAUGUACCAUAUGAAUAAGGAUCGGCUAACUCCGUGCCAGCAGCCGCGGU